rnacentral:rRNA from 1 species
UACAGAGGUCCCAAGCGUUGUUCGGAUUCACUGGGCGUAAAGGGUGCGUAGGUGGCCGGGUAAGUCUGAUGUGAAAUCUCCGAGCUUAACUCGGAAAUGGCAUUGGAUACUAUUCGACUGGAGGGUUGGAGGGGGGACUGGAAUUCUCGGUGUAGCAGUGAAAUGCGUAGAUAUCGAGAGGAACACCAGUGGCGAAGGCGAGUCCCUGGACAACUCCUGACACUGAGGCACGAAAGCUAGGGGAGCAAACGGG